rnacentral:rRNA from 1 species
UACAGAGGGGGCAAGCGUUGUUCGGAAUUACUGGGCGUAAAGGGCGCGUAGGCGGCCUGCUAAGUCGAACGUGAAAUCCCCGAGCUCAACUCGGGAACUGCGUCCGAUACUGGUUGGCUUGAAUCCGGGAGAGGGAUGUGGAAUUCCAGGUGUAGCGGUGAAAUGCGUAGAUAUCUGGAGGAACACCGGUGGCGAAGGCGGCAUCCUGGACCGGUAUUGACGCUGAGGCGCGAAAGCCAGGGGAGCAAACGGG